UGAUGAUCCAGACAAAGAAGAUUAACAUUCAAACAUAACAACAACAUGCAUACAAAUAAAAGACAUUCACAGAGUUCAACGAAAAGCAGGUGGUCCCGAAAUAUUACAAGUAUAUAAGAAGUAAACAAGGACACAGAAAUAAUUGUUUUUGUCAUAAAGACAACUACUCUAUCGUGUUGAUACUAGCUAGAUUCCCCAGCUCCCAAAAAUCUUCACCAAAAAUAGGGACAGAUGGAGCUUUCCUUACCAGCAGCUCAACUUUCUCAGGGACUAGGAGACAACAUCAUCUGCAGAGCAUAAGCAACGACAUCAGUAGAGGGAGUACAGAAAUACAAACAAUGAAAAAAGAAGGAGGAAGUGGAUGCUUACAACGCAAAGAGAAGAGGAACAUGAAUUAUCGAUUUCAAUCGGAGAGGAACAUUGAGCUGAGGCAACGAAAAUCGAAACAAGUGAAGAGUACUGAAUACUCUUGGCCAUCAGUGCCUGUUAUUUAUUUUUUUGGAAAUUCUUCACCUCUCCUUCGAUGGAUCGGGUCGGUUUUUGGACCUGGAUUAGUAUACAUAAUUG
rnacentral:lncRNA from 1 species